GGCGCGCUAAGUCAGCGAGGCCGCUGAUUGGAUAAGCGUCAUCGAUGACGUCAUCUGACUCACGGCGAAUCACAGGUCCCGCAACGGUAUCAGCUGUGUUUACAUAGGUAAGUGCCGAAGAUACUUAAUAAAGUCAAAUUGCAGAAACAGGCUGCUGAACACUACAACAGUAAACCCAGAUGACCAUAACAAGGCGUUACAGUAGAAGGGAAAAGUUAUCAAGGCUCAGAUUACACGGUCAAGGGGGGUAGAAUGAUAAGUCGCUAUCCACCCCUCUCUCCCUCUCAGUCCUUCACUGUCGCCUCACACUCCGUCAUUCACCAGCAGCUACUAGCCUUGGUGGAAGAGGUGGAGAGGAGGGAAAACAUAAUUUCUGAGGAGCAUGAUGAUGUGAAGGGUGUGGUGACAGCAAGCAAGAGGCAGGCGUGGGAGGAACGGUGUCCAAUGGAGCGUGGAUGAACUUCAACGAAAGUUCAGCCUGAAGCUGCCUGAAGUCCCAGCAGGGCGAAAAACAAAACUGGCUGCGUAAAUGAAGCCUAUUCAAGACACAGGUGGUGGGCCUCCUGCUACUGUGGAGUACAGCGAGGCUGAGCUAGUGCUUCUGCGCAUGCAGGCACCCAUUGCGGCAACAGGGGCACCCUAUCCUGACAGUGAGGGCCAGCCUUUACGUGCCUUUGCUGGACCUUCCUCAUCUUCAAAUGUUGUUGAUGAUGACCUGUUUCCCUCGAUGAGUACGACAAUAAUCGAGGUGUCAGAGGAGUGAACCAACAGAAGUGCCCCCAUCAUCGGCCUCAUCCAGUGUCCGACGACCCAGUGCCCUUAAACCCCAAAGGUCAACUUCCCUUCCUGCCAGUAGAAGUGGUAGUAGAUCAGCAACUCCCACAGCAGCAGGUCACGAGUUAACAACUGGUUCCCGAGUUCCUUACUACCCAAAAGGAAAUUCGAGGUCUGCUGAAGGACCUGGUGGAUGAGCAACGGAGGAAUGGAAACCAUCUACAGGAUAUCGCCCGAGGUUUUACUGAAAUGGGGUAUUUAGGCAACCAUGUACAGGAUAUUGGCCAAAGUCUAAGGGAAAUAGGAGAGGCACUGAUGGCCAUAACGGGGGCAAUCAGUUCAAGAAAGAAGUUUUUUUUUAAAGUUAUUAUUUUCAUAAAUUAAGAUUUGAAUAUUUAUAUAUAAGAAUAGUUUAUAUAAUCAUUUUCAUUAUUAACUUUAAGAUCUUUGAUGGUGCUUGUCAAGCCAAUGCAUACCACAGAGGGGGGAUAUCCAGCACGACAGGAAUCAUUCCAUAUUUUUUCUCUUAGUGCAUUAUGAUGUGCCACUAUAAAAAAUUCAGAGAGAACCAUCAUAUACUGAACUUUAAUUUUUACCAAGUUGUGUUAUAUUUUAUAUUUUUUUUAAUUCAGCACGUCAUGUUUUCUAUCUUGCCUGUAUAAUGUUAAUGAACAGGACGUUACCUGCCUUGCGUAUAGUCCUAACAUCACUUACAGAUGCCGGACCACAGGUAUCAUCAUCUUCAGUGUAGGACGGUUCUUUCCUGGUCAUUUUCUAGUGGCACAUCAUGAUGCAUAAAGAGAGAAAAAAUAUCAAAAGUAUAUUUUGCAUCUUCAAUGACAUAGUUUCCAACCGUUUAAUUUAGGUAACAUUUUUUUACUAAAAACAGCCUUACAUAUGCAAUUCAUAAACAGUGUGCCUAAAAAGGUAUAAUUAACCCAGUAGCAGCGACGGGCCAAAUGUGUGCCAUGAUUUAAACCCCCAAAAAUAGAUGAUACAUAAACUGAUCACAAAUGCUUCGAUAAAUAUUAUGAAAUGGUUUGUGUGAGUGAUGAUUUUUUUCUCAUUUUUUUUUCUUGCUUAGAGGUACCAUUAAGAAACAUGAUCCCCGCUGCUACCGGGUUAAACUAAACCUCAUGGGACUGACAUUCCUUUCCUGCUGGAUAUCCCCAUUCUGCAGUAUGCAUUUUGAUCUCAUUUAUAGUUCCUUAGUUUCUAAUUAUUUUUUUAUAAUAUUACAAUAAGUUUAUUAUUAUUGGUUUAAGUGUAAUAGUUUUUUUCAUUUAAUAUUUUUAUACAUGUGAUGAUUGCUCAUUAUAUUUUUGCCAUAACUUAAAAUAUUCUUAUUCCUUGAAUAUUGGUUUGUGUGUCAGGGAUCAAUUGUGAGGCCUGACGGUUAAGGGGCUGGCAGAACAACUAUUAAGGGGCUGACCAGAAGACAAACUGCAUUAACAUGCUCACAGGGCCCCAAACACAAGCACACAAGGAAAAAUCACAGAGACUUGUACACUAUUUACAUUUUAAUUAGUCUAAAAUACAGAACACUGUCACAUGUUUAACUGACUUUGAGUAAGGUCUCAAAAAAGAAAAUACUUGCAAAUAUUUUAAUACAUU